rnacentral:rRNA from 2 species
ACCGCAAGGCCUUGCGCGGACGGAGCGGCCGAUGGCAGAUUAGGUAGUUGGUGGGAUAAAAGCUUACCAAGCCGACGAUCUGUAGCUGGUCUGAGAGGACGACCAGCCACACUGGGACUGAGACACGGCCCAGACUCCUACGGGAGGCAGCAGUGGGGAAUUUUGGACAAUGGGCGAAAGCCUGAUCCAGCCAUGCCGCGUGCAGGAUGAAGGCCUUCGGGUUGUAAACUGCUUUUGUACGGAACGAAAAGACUCCUUCUAAUAAAGGGAGUCCAUGACGGUACCGUAAGAAUAAGCACCGGCUAACUACG